GAAUACUGGUUCUAUAAAUUUCUAGUUGAGCAUAUUAUCUUAGUUUUAAGUAGCACUUAUAUUACUAAGAAACAUAUUUCAUGUCACGAUAGAAGCCCUAGGUGUGUAACUUUUCAGAUCAGAGUCUGAUGAGUAUUAGAAAUUUUAGUCUAUUUUUCUCUGGCUUGAUUGUACUUAUUCUGUGGAAAAUUACCUCUGAUAUUUUUAUAAUAAAGCCUCCUUACAGUCACUGAAGUCAUAAAGAACAGUUGAAAGUAAAGAAUUUGUGGACCAUCUUCAAGAACACUGCUUCACUACGUAAAUGUUUUCUGUAGUAUUGUCUUGGCUCUACAUUAUACAUUACAAAUCUAGUGAUAUGGCCAGUCAUAUAAAUGAGGAGGUCGAAAAGAAUAAUUUCUGAAGAAAAGUAAUUGGAGAUGCUGGAGACAGUGGAACAACAUUCGAUCACAACAGUCUCUUAAACUGCCAAGAUGAUCCUUAGUGAUGAGACAUCGUGUCAUAAUGUUGAUGAAGUCCUUCGCCUAGUCAGUGCCAUCCAGUAUGCUGAUAAUACGGGGAAAAUUUGCCCGGGCAACUGGAAGCCAGGAGAUGAGGGCCUCUCCAACCAUUGCCCAGUGCAGCAAGUGACCUCGGCAUCUAAGUAGUGCGUUCCUAGAAUGUGUCCCGAGUCAUCUGAACAUUCAAGGGUCUUACUGAAAGAACUAGACAGAAAAAAUCUGCUGUUCCCUCCUCCCUGGAGAGAAUGAAUUUGAAUUUUGUUUUAUGUUUCAAGGUGGUAUGGAUGCUUGGGCACUAGUCAUCAUAUAUGCGAUAUAUUUUUUUCUGCAAGUUCCUAUGUCAUUGUUUUUUUUUCCUUUUUUUUUUUUUUUUGCCAACCUGUUUGGCACCAAUUUUAUGACAGUAUUUCAUACAUGGUAUUUAGAUUUGUUCUCUUUUAGUAUGAUAUUAAAAUAUUUCCUCAUAGGGGACAUUGCGUAGACAUUUUUGUAUCCAUUGUGACAGUUGAAAUGCAGCUAGUAAAAGAAGGUACUAAUGAAUGGAAUAUUACGUACAAAACAUUGCAUUUAUCUGAGAGGAGGUUUUAUGAGCGGUGUGUUGUUCAAUGUGAUAAGGAGCUGUGAUAAAAGGUCCUUUAUAUUUUUUUAAGUAUGGCUGAAUUUACAACUUCCUGUAGCAUUAUGUUUGUCAGUCAAAAUCCAAACUCAAAGUUUGUGAAAAGUUCCACAGUCAGUAAGAUACUAUUAGCUAAGGUUGCAUACAUUUGUAAAAUGUAACAUGUAUCUGUGUUUUCAUGUUGUGAAAAUGAACUUAGACUUUUGUACUGUAGUAUUCAGAUUUCAAUAAGUAUUGUAAGUUUUGGAUACUUAAUAAGCUUUGGAAAAUGUAUAAAUGUUCCAUGUAGCAGCUUUUUGUGGAUCUGCUUUAUGUAUUUGCUCAUGUUGAUGACUUCCAGCAUUUUUAGAGAAGAUCUGAUAAUUUAAUUUUUGUAUUAGUUGUUUUUGCGAGUAAACUGUUUCUUUCCUUUGUA